CACCUUUUGACAUGCCCGGAUCACGCCAGAGGUGGCGCUUUCCCUUCGGGGACCGGAGCACAGGUGCUGCAUGGCUGUCGUCAGCUCGUGUCGUGAGAUGUUGGGUUAAGUCCCGCAACGAGCGCAACCCUCGCCUUUAGUUGCCACCAUUUAGUUGGGAACUCUAAAGGGACUGCCGGUGCUAAGCCGGAGGAAGGUGGGGAUGACGUCAAGUCCUCAUGGCCCUUACAGGGUGGGCUACACACGUGCUACAAUGGCGACUACAGAGGGCUGCAACCCUGCGAAGGGGAGCCAAUCCUUAAAAGUCGUCUCAGUUCGGAUUGCACUCUGCAACUCGAGUGCAUGAAGUUGGAAUCGCUAGUAAUCGCGGAUCAGCAUGCCGCGGUGAAUACGUUCCC
rnacentral:rRNA from 1 species